rnacentral:rRNA from 1 species
GGAGGGGGCAAGCGUUAUUCGGAAUUAUUGGGCGUAAAGGGCGUGUAGGCGGCCUUGUGUGUCUUUUGUGAAAGCCCUCGGGCUCAACCGAGGAAUUGCAGGAGAAACUGCGAGGCUCGAGUUCGGGAGAGGAGAGCGGAAUUCCCAGUGUAGCGGUGAAAUGCGUAGAUAUUGGGAGGAACACCCGUGGCGAAGGCGGCUCUCUGGACCGAUACUGACGCUGAGACGCGAAAGCUAGGGGAGCGAACGGGAUUAGAUACCCCGGUAGUCCUAGCUGUAAACGAUGAGCACUUGGUGUGGCGGGUAUCGACCCCUGCCGUGCCGAAGCUAACGCAUUAAGUGCUCCGCCUGGGGAGUACGGCCGCAAAGGCUG